rnacentral:sRNA from 1 species
GCUGGGCACGGUGGCACAGGCCUGUAAUCCCAGCGGCUCAGGAGGCUGAGGCAGAAGGAUUGCAAGUUCAAAGCCAGCCUCAGCAAAAGUGAGGUGCUGAGCAACUCAGUGAGACUCUGUCUCUA